GCAGUAGCCGCGGUAAUACGAGGGGGGCAAGCGUUGUUCGGAAUUAUUGGGCGUAAUGGGUGCGUAGGCGGUCUGAUAAGUCUUAUGUGAAAUCUCUGGGCUCAACCCAGAGUCUGCAUGGGAAACUGUCAGGCUUGAGAAUGGGAGAGGUGAGUGGAAUUUCCGGUGUAGCGGUGAAAUGCGUAGAUAUCGGAAGGAACACCUGUGGCGAAAGCGGCUCACUGGACCAUUUCUGACGCUGAUGCACGAAAGCUAGGGGAGCAAACAGGAUUAGAUACCCGCGUAGUCCCUGUCUCUUAUCC
rnacentral:rRNA from 1 species